UACGAAGGGUGCAAGCGUUACUCGGAAUUACUGGGCGUAAAGCGUGCGUAGGUGGUUUGUUAAGUCUGAUGUGAAAGCCCUGGGCUCAACCUGGGAAUUGCAUUGGAUACUGGCAGGCUAGAGUGCGGUAGAGGGUAGUGGAAUUCCCGGUGUAGCAGUGAAAUGCGUAGAUAUCGGGAGGAACACCAGUGGCGAAGGCGGCUCACUGGACCGGAACUGACGCUGAGGCGCGAAAGCGUGGGGAGCAAACAGG
rnacentral:rRNA from 1 species